GGGAGGCAGGAAGGGCUCUGAUCCCUCUCCAACCCCAGGAGAGAUUUCCAACCCAGCUGUCACAGCUCUAUGCCACGGGGACCAAGGGAGAGGCUAAGAGAGGCAGGAAGAGUUGGCAAAGAAGUGAUAGAGAAGAUAAGGAGGCUGAACCACCAAGGGGGACGGGACGGAGGGGGAGCCAUCUUGAGACUGGUGCCUGCCGAGCUCUGCCCAGACCUCCAUGCAGUUCCCCAUGGGCCCCGCCUGCAUCUUCUUGAGAAAAGGCAUCGCUGAGAAACAGAGGGAAAGACCACUGGGACAAGAUGAGAUUGAAGAGCUCCGGGAGGCAUUUCUUGAGUUCGACAAGGACCGAGAUGGGUUCAUCUCUUGUAAGGAUUUGGGGAAUCUCAUGAGGACAAUGGGUUACAUGCCCACAGAGAUGGAAUUGACUGAACUGGGGCAGCAGAUCCGCAUGAACUUGGGCGGCCGUGUAGACUUUGAUGAUUUUGUGGAGCUGAUGACCCCCAAGUUGCUUGCAGAAACGGCUGGGAUGAUCGGUGUCCAGGAGAUGCGAGAUGCCUUCAAGGAAUUUGACACCAACGGAGACGGGGCAAUCACCCUGGGAGAGUUGCAGCAGGCCAUGCAAAGGCUUCUGGGAGAGAAGCUCACCCCCGGGGAGAUCGCCGAGGUUGUCCAGGAGGCCGAUGUGAAUGGAGAUGGCACUGUUGACUUCGAAGGACAUUUCAACAGAAACUGAAUGCAGUGAGAAGAACUACAGAAGGACCAGGGAGAGGAGAACUGCAGCACGAACAAGGCACAGGGCCUGGAGUGAGCGUGGUGGGUUCAAAGAACAGAACAGUGGCUUGAGUGUAAUGAUGAGCGGCGGAGAGUGACCAAGUGAUCAAGCAAGAUGGCGAACAAGGCAUUUCCAAAAGUGAUUAGCAAAGCUUGAAAGACGUGAUGAAAAAGACGAAGCUGGUUCCUAACUCAACAUGUCAGUCUUUUUCUGAAGAGGUUUCUUCUCCCCUUGAAAAUAAGAUCAAAAGCCAGCGUUCAGGUAAUAGAUCCUGAAUUUGCGAAUUCGCCUACUCGCUCACAUUUAUUUGCAACCUCAAAUCAACACUUGUGGGGCAUCGACAGUCAUUUGUGGGCACCCGGAGUGGUGAAAACUUUGAGCCGCCCAAUGCCCACUGUUCUAGCUGAAUUCCACCAAGGCAACACUCUGCCUUCUUGUCUCAGCUCUCAUACUGGAAACGACUAGUGUUUCUAAGCUCAAGAAGACUGGGAUAGGCCUUACAGGCAAAAUGUAUUAAGUGAGCUUUGUUCACGAGUUACAGCGCUGUUGGCCAUAAGUUCAGUGUGAAUGAAUCAACAAUAUGAAUUAGAUAAUGUGUUUUUGAAUAGGUGGCCCUUAGGGGCUUAUCCUUGUGUAACAGACAAUGGUCUAAGAUGGCAUGUGGCAAUCUUUUGGCCCUAUUUUAAGUUUUGGAUAAUUUUUUGUUAACAAAGAAUAGCAAAUGUAGUUUGGGGGAGUGCGGUGAUCAGGGGAGAAGACCUAGAUAAAGGGAACUAUAACACUGGCAACGUGUCUUCACCAUUCUGCUUUGGACAAUGAUCAGGAGGUCCAAUUUUGGUAUCAUUUUGUCCAGAGACAAGGUUCUCCCUUCACACCUCCAUUUCCUUACAAGUUAUCCACUCUCUGUCCUCUCUUUAGGGUUAGGAUCUUGCAUGUAUCUGGGGCUCUUAGAUGGAGGCUUGUCCUCAGGGAUGAGUCUUAUAGAAACAGGAGUGGUUCACCCUGGAAGAUACAGUCCAUUCUUGUAAUUACAGGUAGUUAUGUUCUAGUAAGUCUCCUCAAACAUCAAAUUGGCAAAUAUGGAGCCAUUUCUCCUAGGGAAAUUGGGUUCCUGUGAGCCUCUGUUCAUAUUUUUCUCAAUCGAUCAAUAUAUCACCUUGUUUUAUGAACAGAUAGUCAAUAUUCUCUGCUUUGUGCAUCAUACAGCAUCAGUCACAAUUACUUAACUGCCAUCAU